ACACAUUGCCAAGGUGACGAGAAGUAUAUACCUCUGCCUCUCUUCCCAACUGCAGCUCUGAGCUGAGCAGUUCCAAUUUGAUAUUCCAUGACUUCUCAGCUCUCAACCUAGCAUCUUUGACGAUGGGCAAACUCAAUUGCUGCUACUGUGAAUGCCACCCAUCACCAUUCCUAUGCUGAUCCACAAGGAAGAUUAUUUUCGUGACUUUGAAGACUCAUAACCUUAAAUCAACAUCAUAUGGUCUAAGUUCAAGAGCCUCCAAAAAUAAUACAUAGCAAGGGGUGAAAAUCUGUGUGCUUCCUCAAGUGAGUCAGAACAUUCAUCUGUUGAGAAAACAAAGGAUCAUAUAAAUGGCCCAUUUGAAGUUACCAUGGAAAUUCCAUCAUGGAUUUAAAUAUAACUAUGCUAAUGACACCUGGUUGACUCAGUUAUGAAGCCAGGUGGAACAUAGUGUUUGAGAUAAUGCACCAAAGAAAGUGAAAGGACACCUGGAGGAAGUUGUUUGUCCCAAAGAAUGUGUCUCUCCAGUCAACUCAGGAUGUUGACUACAACAUUUCUCAACCAAGCAAGAGAAACACUUGUUGAGGGAAAAUAUGCCAUCACACACUUUAUAAUCAGCUUCAGUGUUGCCAAAGCCCCGCAUUUUGGAGAUGCAGGAGGGAGAGUGACCAGGGCAACAAGAACAGAAGUGGAGAUAGAAUAACAGCUGAGGAAGGGAAGAGGGAGCAUUUACUAAAGAGACUUGGGACCACCUACCUGGAGAAGGCUGGGGAAGUUGUUGAGCAUGGAUGAAAAGAGAUUAUACAUUUAAAGAUCCAAAGUUUUCAAGUGCUGGAUGAGAGCAAAUGUGCAAGAUGAAGAUACUACCAAGGAGCAUAUCAUGAAGGGAGAGGUCAGUGGUGCCUGGUGACUCAGUAGGUUAGAUGUCUUAUUCAAGACUUUGACACAGGUCCUGAACUCAGGGUGCUGGUUUGAACUCAAUAACAGGAUUUGCAGGCAAUCUUCGUUGCAUUAUCUCUCACCUUCUGCCCCUCCACCCAAAGAGUCUCUCUCUCUAUCAAAAUAUAAUAAAUAACUACUUAAAUAACAAAA